GUGCGGUAGGCAUUGAGGCAGCCAGCGCAGGGGCUUCUGCUGAGGGGGCAGGCGGAGCUUGAGGAAACCGCAGAUAAGUUUUUUUCUCUUUGAAAGAUAGAGAUUAAUACAACUACUUAAAAAAUAUAGUCAAUAGGUUACUAAGAUAUUGCUUAGCGUUAAGUUUUUAACGUAAUUUUAAUAGCUUAAGAUUUUAAGAGAAAAUAUGAAGACUUAGAAGAGUAGCAUGAGGAAGGAAAAGAUAAAAGGUUUCUAAAACAUGACGGAGGUUGAGAUGAAGCUUCUUCAUGGAGUAAAAAAUGUAUUUAAAAGAAAAUUGAGAGAAAGGACUACAGAGCCCCGAAUUAAUACCAAUAGAAGGGCAAUGCUUUUAGAUUAAAAUGAAGGUGACUUAAACAGCUUAAAGUUUAGUUUAAAAGUUGUAGGUGAUUAAAAUAAUUUGAAGGCGAUCUUUUAAAAAGAGAUUAAACCGAAGGUGAUUAAAAGACCUUGAAAUCCAUGACGCAGGGAGAAUUGCGUCAUUUAAAGCCUAGUUAACGCAUUUACUAAACGCAGACGAAAAUGGAAAGAUUAAUUGGGAGUGAUAGGGAAAUUAGAAGAUAAAAACAUACUUUUAGAAGAAAAAAGAUAAAUUUAAACCUGAAAAGUAGGAAGCAGAAGAAAAAAGACAAGCUAGGAAACAAAAAGCUAAGGGCAAAAUGUACAAACUUAGAAGAAAAUUGGAAGAUAGAAACAA
rnacentral:lncRNA from 1 species